rnacentral:misc_RNA from 1 species
UCUUUUUUUUUUUUUUUUCUUUAUUUCUUCAAUUUCUUUGUUAAGAAAAUACACUCGCAUACAUCAACCUUGUGUACCUGCUAAUGGAAGUGAACUUGCAGCUUCUUUCUACCAUGGUAAUCCAGUCCCUGAGAUUUUGUUUCUGAUAGAAGAGAGCUGAGCAACAAUAUCACCAAUAUUCCUGCGCUCUUGUGGUGAUUCAGCAGAACAAGAGAUUCCAAUUUCAAAGAUUGAAAUCAAGCACUCAAUAAACAUACUGUUUCUCAUGUUCCCAAGAUUGUGAUUAUGAACCGAUGUUGCAUUUGCAUUGGAUCGUAUCUGAGGAAGGUUGAUAUUGGGAUCUAGAAUUUGAGUCACUUGUUCUGGCAAAGCUCUCUUAACAAAAUUUUGAAGGUUCAUACCUUCUUGAAACAUGUGAUCAGUAGGUCUCCUUCCCGUGAACAUCUCCAACAGGAUUAUGCCAAAGCUAAAAAUGUCACCUGAUGUUGAUACUUGACUUCCCAUGCCAUACUCUGGAGGACAAUAACCGAUAGUUCCUCUUACUGCAUUGGAGCUGGAUUGAUUUGUAGAACAACCAGGAGUGGCAUUAGAAAGGAACUUGACUAAUCCAAAAUCGCUUACAUGUGCAGUCAUUUCUUCAUUAAGAAGAAUAUUGCUUGGUUUUAGAUCACAGUGAACAAUUGGUGUUCCAAAAUGAUGUUGAAGAUAUUCCAAUGCACAAGCAAUAUCAAUGGCAAUAUUUA